GCCUGGGUGGCUCAGCUGGUUAAGUAUUUGACUUCAGCUCAGGUCACAAUCUCACAGUUCAUGGGUUCGAGCCCCAUGUCAGGCU
rnacentral:tRNA from 1 species